rnacentral:tRNA from 1 species
GGUAAUUUAGCUCAGUGGCAUAAGCACCUGCCUUGCAAGCAGGCAGUCGUGAGUUCAAUCGCUGGUACCG